AGGGUUGUAGUUAAUUAUAAUAUUUGAAUUGCACUCAAAAGGUACUAAAUCAAUUUAGUCAACCUUA
rnacentral:tRNA from 1 species